UUCGAAAAUGCCGCCUUAUCUCAUACCUCCUUUUUUAUAUAUCUUUGUGUGUGAAGAAUAUGUUGAUAGAUAUCUCAGAAGAGAAAAAUCCUUGGUUUGGAGGGCUCUCAAAGAGGGCUCUUAUUAUUUAUUGUAGCAAACGUUUACCGUUUAAUAAGAACGUAUAAGGACUGUACAUCUGACAGAAUAUAUGAUGAAAAUAUAACAUCUAAUGGUACCGUCAAAGAAAGUUUUCGUGGAACUGGAUUACAAAGAAAAAAAAAAAGGGAAAAAAAAGAAAGAAAGAACCAAGA